UUUGAAAAAAAAAAAAAACGUAGCACUAAGGAAAUAAGAACCAAAUGACAGAACUUUUGCAGGACCCUCGUACAGCCUUGGCUUAAAUUUGUAAUUAAACACAUAAUAUUUUGACCAUUUGUCUUAUAUAUGUUACAGUUUUUACCUUGUGUUUUACUAGCGCCCUAGGUUUCAACAUACAGUAAGCAAAUUUCAAAAUUUUCCUAAAUUUUAUAUAAGCAUUCAGACAAAGUAACACGAUGAUCAAAUGAAAUAUGUGGCCUCAUGAAUAUUAAGAAAUGUUUGUUAUAUUUAAUACAGUUCUAAGCAUAAUCAAUUGCCCCUGUAAUUAUUUUAGAGUUCUUUAUCGACAGAAAUUUAUGUAUGGACUUCUAGAUCUUCAAAGUAUGUUUUAUACACAAUAUAGUUUCAAUAGAAUAUGAUAUGUAGCAUCUUUAUGAACCCUAAUUAACUUUUUAUAUGAUUCAUCUUUAAUUUGAAUAUAAUUCUCAUGCCUAGUUAACUUGAAACAAGAUAUGUCAUUCACAUGUGACAGUACUUUAUAGAAAGUUUCGUUCGUUGUGUACAAAAAUGUGACUGACAACCAAAAGAUGCAUUAAAGAGACUAAUCCACGACAUUUUAGGCGAAAUAUAAUUUCUCUCAAAAAUAAAAAAGUGAAUAGUCUGAAAGUCACUUGUGGUAUAAACUUAUUAGCAUAAGAUUAUUGCAAGAUAUUCUUAUAAAUAACCAAAUAUUGUGCAGAAGAUAGUAAACCGUUUCAACACUUUUGGAAUAAUGCAGAAAAGAUGCACAAUCUCCUUGAAUUUUUACCAAUAUCUAACUUUUAUUUUCACCCCCUUUAUCAUUUUUCAGUGUCAUAGAUACAUUCUGUGCCAAACUUGAUGGAAAGGAACAUAUUGAAAUAUUUCACCCAAACUGUUGGAGAGUAGCUUUAAAUGAUAAUACGUUGCACAUGUGUAUACUUUUUCCUUUUAAAAAAAAAUGAAAGAUGAGAGUUGAAUCACUGGAGGCACAGAGCCGGUGCCACACAGAAACUGUAGUGGGAAGAUAUGCAGACGGGUUGCUUUAAGUACCAAACAACAAACACGAAAACAAGUGGUGAGGGAUGAUAGAGAAGGAGAAAUGGUAAGUUAAAAAGGGGACAUGAAAAUGUCGUAUGAGAUAUAAAAGGUGGAGGUGAAGGAAAGUGACACCAAAAUACAAGAUAGUAUUAAAAAAAACAAUUAAAAGUAAUCGGACGAAGAAGCAGGCAUCACCUUGGAAAGGUCAGUAACUUAUACAGAAAAAUAAAUGGGAUUUCACACGCGUUCGGGGCAUAUUAAUCUCACACUUCGACGCUAUGCUUAUUUACAUACAUGAAUAUACAUUGUAUACCUUGUAUAUCGUGGGGACUGAGUAUAAAGACGGAGGUUAUUUCUUACAGCUUCUGUUUUAUUAGCAAACAACAUAUGGUUACUACCUAUAUAACUACCGUAUUUUACUCUCAUAAUUUUCCGGUUUCAACUCGACUCUGGUAGUCCUCAUUUUAGCGACCAUCGCCAAUUUGGUUUCUUUUUUUGGGCAUUUUACGGGCAACGUUGUCUUACGGAAAAGAAAGAAAAUGAUGACAACUAAACAACAAUAGACACGUUUCUGAUGGGACAAAUUCAUCUCAGUCGUAAAUAAAGAUGCAAAGAAGCAUUUUCAAAACUAAAUUAAAAGGGGAUACAACAAAGAAGAGAACUCAACAACUUGCUGAUGAACUAGCACUUUUGGUCAUAACGAUCUCCGAUGUGCAGUAGUAAUAGCUCGGCGACACUUGCUACCCUAAACUCCAGGUAAUACAACCGAUUUGAUCUCUUUAUUGCCAUAAAGUGAAAUGUAACAUUUUGAAAAAAUGGACUCAACUAAAGCUAAGAAAUAGAUCUUAACGUCCUUAAUGACUAAGAGAAUUUUACAAACUGACGUUUUAUAACAAUUUUCGUUAAAUUAAAUGUAGUAUUUAUUUUAGGUAUUGAUCGCAGAAUAAAACGACACAUUUUCCCUCAAGUAUGUCUGAUACAGCUUACAGUACAAUGGAGGCUACAACUGAAUAAAUUGAAAACUGUUCUUACUAUAGAAUAUAUUCGUUUGAUUAUUAGUUACAUUUGUACCACUGACGCAGAUGAAAACCAUUCAGUAUUUAAGAAUGUCACAUUGCUGAUGUGAACAAAAUGUCACGUUAAAGCGAAACUUGUGUUUUUAUUUUGUUGUUGUUUUUUUUUUUUGUUUUUUUUUGUUUGUUUUAUAUUCAUAAUCAUUUUCAAAUACAGUAACUAUACAUCAUAGAAAAUUUGUUCAUGACUUAUUCUAAAUGGAUCACAAAACCAGUAAUGCUUACUGUCAGAAAUGCUCAUGUAUAUUUACCAAACCGAUCUGGAAACGAAGGAUCCCGCAUAUAAUAAAUUUUAUAAAUGGUAAUUGGACAGUUGUUGUAAGAUUAAAGAUUUAGUAACAUUUUCAGUAAGAGUUAAUCUAAUAUUUUACAAUUUAUCUGAAAUCAAAUAGCAGUUGAUAAAUUGCACAUUAUGAUAUAACAUUUGAACUUAAAGUUUUCUUUGCUUAUCAUUUAUUUCAGCUUACAGAAAUUAUAUUUCUUUCUUUUGUUAACAAGAUAAAACACUGCUUUAUGUGAAUUGUCUUAUUUGAUAAUUUCCAUUACAAGAUAAAUAAGGUUAUUGCUUACAGCUUCUGUUUUAUUAGCAAACAAAAUAUGGUUACUACCUAUAUAUCUACCGUAUUUUACUUUCAUAAUUUUCCGGUUUCAAUUCGAUUCUGGUAGUCCUCAUUUUAACGACCAUCGCCAAUUUGGUUUCUCUUUUGGCAUUCUACGGGCAAUGGUGUCUUACGUAAAAGAAAGGCAACUAAACAACAUUAGACACGUUUCUAACGGGACAAAUUCAUCUCAGUCGUAAAUAAAGAUGCAAAGAAGCAUUUUCAAAACUAAAUUAAAAGGGAUAACAGCAAUGAAGAGAACUCAACAACUUGCUGAUAGCACUUUUGGUCAUAACGAUCUCCGAUGUGCAGUAGUAAUAGCUCGGCGACACUUGCUACCCUAAACCUCCAGGUAUUGAUCGCAGAAUAAAACGACACAUUUUCAUCAAGUAUAUACAGUACAAGGGAGGCUACAACUGAAUAAAUUGAAAACUGUUCUUACAAUAGAAUAUAUUUGUUUGAUUAUUAGUUACAUUUGUACCACUGAUAGAUACAUAUAUAGAAAAUUUGUACAUGACCUUUUGUAAAUGGAUCUCAAAACCAGUAAUGCUUACUGUCAGAAAUGCUCGUGUAUAUUUACCAAACUUUACAGAGGGUCCCGCAUAUAAUCAUUUGUAUAAAUGGUAAUUGGACAACUGUUUGUAAGAUUAAAGAUUUAGUAACAUUUUCAGUAAGAGGUAAUCUAAUAUUUUACAAUUUAUCUGAAACCAAUUUGCACAUUAUGAUAUAACAUUUGACCAUAAAUUUUUCUUUGCUUAUCAUUUAUUAUGGUGUUCCUUCAGCAUAAAGAAAUUACAUUUCUUUCUUUUGUAAACAAGAUAAAACACUGCUUUAUAUGAAUUGUCUGAUUUGGUAAUAAUUAUUUACCUUCACAAGAUAAAUAACUUCGUCAAACGAAAUAUGAAAUUUUAUUCAACAUUCAGAACGAUGUAAUGGGGAUUUUCCAUUGCCAUUUAAUUUGACAAUCAGUUUUUGUUUCGAUUACUCCCCUUUGGUCAUGGGCUGAAAACUGCCUAAUACUUGCAUUGGGUGUUAAAAUUGUAAUAAAUUAAAGAUAAGGUCUUCAUGCUCAAUCUUUGUAUUUGCAGAUUUACAUGAAGGUCUGUGUAAAGAAGGAAGUUUUAUUUCACGAUAGGUUAGAGGGAAUAAUUAAUUGAUAGUAAGAUACUAAUGUGCAGCAUAUCUGUCAUCUAAAACUUAUCCAAGAUCACAAGUAAUAUCAAACCAUAAACCUACGGCCGAAAAUCUACUGAUAUUUUUAUCUAAUGUUCACUAUAUCUUAAUCUUUACUUUAUCUUA